rnacentral:rRNA from 1 species
UACGUAGGGGGCAAGCGUUGUUCGGAAUUAUUGGGCGUAAAGCGCGUGUAGGCGGCUUUGCAAGUCGGUCGUGAAAUCCUUCGGCUCAACCGAAGAACGUCGAUCGAAACUGCCGUUCUUGAGGAUUGCAGAGGAGACUGGAAUUCCCGGUGUAGCGGUGAAAUGUGUAGAGAUCGGGAGGAACACCGGUGGCGAAGGCGGGUCUCUGGGCAAUUCCUGACGCUGAGGCGCGAAAGCUAGGGGAGCAAACAGG